rnacentral:rRNA from 1 species
AACUGAGAAUUACAACAAGAAAACGGCGAAAGGCUCCAUAAAUCAGUUUUAAAGUAGAGAGGAAUGGUGGGGAUUUAUCCUACAACAAUCAGCAAUGAUUUGAGACGGAUAACUAUGGUAAUUCUAUAGCUAAUAAGUGCAAGAAAGAGGACAAGCAAUUUGUUCUCGCAUAUAUUAGAUUGAAGUAUCGUUUGUUCGUGAAUGAGAAUAUAGAAUGUUUAGUUGGCAAAGGAGUGAAGUGAAAUUCAUUUCCUGACCUCUUUUUGAAUCUGACCUAUCAGAUAUCGUAGUUUGAAUAUGGGUCAAACUAGUCGAUGACGGGUACGUGAAAUUAGAGUUUGAUUACGGAGAAAAAGCCUGAGAAACGGCUAUUAUUUCUAAGGAAAGCAGCAGGUGCGCAAAAUGUUCGAUCGACUAACGUCGGAGACUGUGAAAAGAAAUAUGAAUGUCUAUUACAUAUUAAUUUAUGUUGGACAAUUCAAAUGAGUUGAAAAUGAAUCAAUCGACA